AUUCAGUGACAACGUCGACUUUGAAGUUGCACUGACCUGGCCAGCCCUGCCACUUACCAGGUUGGGCUGUGGCUUGCCUUUUCACUUCUUGUGUCCUGUUUAAGAAAUAUCUGCUAUCCCAAGCAUCUGGCAUCUUUCUUGACAUACGUAGCAGUUGCUUUUUGACAGCUUGCUUCUGGAGUGAAUGAAUAAAUUAAUAAAUUUAUUCAUUUGAUAUUCAGUGACAUGUGAUAUUCAGUGAUCCAUUUUGCAGAUUGCAAACUCCUAGAGAAGGGCUCAACAGUGAGUGUUGAGGCUGCACAGAGGAGGAAGGUAGCACAAUGAUGGAAGGCUUCCUAAAGAGAUAACACUAACAAAGUUGACCUUAGAAUUGGAGUGCCCGGGUUAGAACCUUGCUGGUACCACCUGCUUACUGCAUGCUUCUGAUGUGAGUUCAGGAGAAGCCACUGGCAAGGACAGCAAAGAACAGGAGAACACUCUAGCUUCCCUGAUAGCAUUCAAGGUGCUGUCCAAAUUCUUGAAUCCAGUUCAUGAAUCGAGGGAGAUCCUUGGAUGUCUGAUGGCUGCUAUUCUGUUUCUCAAACAAUUUGAAUUCAUCAAGCCGUCACUGAAGAUUUGGAGUCACACAGUCAAGUUUAAAUCCAUGCUAUGCUAUUUAAAACUUGCAUGAUCUUGUGCUAAUUAAUCAAUUUUUGCUUCAGUUUCUGAAAUGGUAAGGGGCACAGGGAUAAUACAGUCUGCUUACCAUAUGGGUGAAGAUGUGGGGGAAGAUUAAAUACAUCGUUCUUACAUGAAAUGUAAAUAGAAAGCUCCUCCACAGUAAGCGAUCAGCUAAAGCUAGUUUACUUUCCACUGCUCUUCAAUAACGGAAAGAGUAAUUUUUCAUUACU
rnacentral:lncRNA from 1 species